rnacentral:misc_RNA from 1 species
CUCUACACCAGCGACUCACUA